UUACCAUGGAGGGGUUUUACGAUUUUAAGGCCUUUUAAGUGCAGACAAAAUAUUUAUUCGUCAGUUUAUUGUCUGAGAACAACCAGAACCAUGAUGCUAGUCAGAUCAGCGAUUGUUGUGCUGUUGGGCUUAUGCACAUGCUACGGCCAAAAUGCCGAAGACUACAACGAGAGUAAUAACUACAAAUCAGCGGUAGUGUCGGCGCGAAAAAAUCAAGACGUAUCUAUACUCAAACAAAUCCACAG